rnacentral:ncRNA from 1 species
GCAAAGUAGAAACAAAUGCGUUAAGUGAAAAGAGGACGGGAAGUUGUCUCUUUUACGAAAAACGAAAGUUUGCGGUGUUUGUUUUGCAUUCCGUUG